AAGCUAAAGAAUGUCUAUUUGGGCCAUACAGUCACGCACUUCAACAACAACCACCACUCCUCCUCCCAUGUUCAGCUGCUGAUGGUUUAGGACACUGAUGCUGUAGCAAUGCUCAGUGCAGGUCUCCUGAUAUUUCUGAUAAGGACUCACCGGUAGAGUCUCCCAUAAAAGCCUCAGGGCGUAACUGAGGCUCGUCUCUCUGCAAAACGCACCUACCUCCACUGACAGCUACUGGGAAUAUUUCCAAACUGCUGUCUUUGGUGCUCCUUGGGGACCCUCUAUCUAGCUAAUAAAUAAAGAGAAGCUAGAAGUUUCCUUCAAACACACUAGAGCAAGAAAGGAACUUGCAGCUAGUGCAUGCUGGAAAAGAAGAAACUGUCCUACAAGGCCUAGCGUUACAGCCUCCAUGGAAAAGAAACAGGGAGAAAAAAAGGUAUUUCUACUGUAUGACCUUAAACUGAGAAAUACUGACUCAGUGUUGAAACAACCUCUCUUUUCUGCAGUUCUGAGUUACCGGAGAGAAGACAAUAAAGUUAGCCCUUAUCCAUCAUCUACAAGUUUAGCAGAAGAGAUCAGUGUCCCAAGUUCCAUCUGACAGAGGGACUUGAAGAGAAAAAAAGCACAAACAAACAACAAAACCACAUAAUAAAGUAAACACUGAUUACACUUCACUGAAAACACGGACUACCAAGUUCAAUUUUCUACAUACUUCAGUUUAAAAAAGGUCUUGAAAAUUGCAACAUCCCCCGUUUCUGCUUCAGCAUUUCUGACUUAAUUGACUAGUGACAAUUACACAAUUUAUUUUUAUGCUCAAUACCAAACUCUCACAGUUUGCGAGAGCACAGAAUUUACCGAGCAAGAACACAUCUGACAAAAACGGAGAUGUAACGCGUAGUUUAAACAAUGCUCACCAUUCCACUGAGGAUAAUUAAGCACCCUCCUCAUCACUUCACCUGUUCUGGGGGGUUGGUGGGAGGAAUGGGGGUUUCUCGCGGCCCCAGCAAGCCCAAAGGCCCGGCACAGCCCGGCACAGCCCGGCACAGCCCGGCACAGCCCGGCCGGGCGCUGCCCCGUGCGGCUCCAGCGCUGCGCUGUGGCGGGGGGGCCGCCUGCUGCAUCCCGCCGCCUGCGGCUGCACCAACGCGCUCCCAGCACGCCCACGGCCGCCAACACAAUGGAAACGCAGCCGUGAGGGACAGGGCUUGACCUGAAAAGAAGCCAAGCUUGGGAACUCAUGCAGCUUCCAGCCACACGCAUGAAUGGUGGCUUGUAGCAGUUUAAAAGGGAGAAGCUUGGGAAGCAGGUGAGGAAGUUUGCCUGGGCUGAAAAAACCAGAUCAUUCAUCACAUUAUGGCCCAUCUGCACUCUGUUCAUGGGGAAUAUUGCUGGUGCUACUUAAGGGCUGGUGCUUUUGAAUAUUAACUCCAGUAUUUUGUUAUAAAUUUACCACUGUAGGUACAGUGAGCAACAACACUUUCAGCCCAGAUGUGGACAAAGCAUCCUUCCAACUGAAAAUCAGUCAAAAGAGUGAUCACAAUGAUUGAAGCUUGGGAACUUUCAAUAAACCGCAACCAGAAUCAAUGAACAUAAAAUCAUGCCUCAUCACCAAAUGCCAUGGAAGAUAACAGAAAAAAAGGAAUCUUCUUCAUAUACAUCACGCGAGAGGCCAAAAUCAGAAAUCUUCAUUUUGCGCCCUUCUGCCACCAGCACGUUCCUGGCUGCUAAAUCCCGAUGCACAAGCUUUUGGAAGGAAACAACAGGAGUGUUUAUGCUUCUUGUGAGGAACCAGCUGCUUGCUCCACGUCUAUCACACGCUGAGAUCACCCCUGCCUGCCCUACCUUCAUUUCUGCAAGAAUUCUUCACACUGACAAGCUUCCUCUUUGAGUGCACUGGGGCUUGAAGGAGAUCUCUAGUCAUAAAGACACCAUAGGUCAGAGAUAACCCUUCUUCUUCCUCAUCCUUAAUCUCUCUGACACACAGAACCAGCCUGGACAGUUCCUCCAGUGUCAUCACUGGGCAUUGACAAGGAUGUGCUCAUCCUGAUUUAAGGAUAAUAAAAACAAGUUUGGCUUCUGCUC